GAUUAACGCUGGCGGCGUGCCUUACGCAUGCAAGUCAAACGGUCCCGAUAGCUUCGGUUGUCGGGAUAGUGGCGGACGGGUGAGUAACACGUAGGCAACCUGCCCGAAAGUGGGGGAUAACUUCGCGAAAGCGGGGCUAAUACCGCAUGUGGUCGGUCCCAGCCUGCUGGGGCCGACUAAAGCCUUCGGGUGCUUUCGGAGGGGCCUGCGGCCGAUUAGCUAGUUGGUGGGGUAACGGCCUACCAAGGUGACGAUCGGUAGCUGGUCUGAGAGGACGAUCAGCCACACGGGGACUGAGACACGGCCUCGACUCCUACGGGAGGCAGCAGCGAGGAAUUUUGCGCAAUGGGCGAAAGCCCGACGCAGCAACGCCGCGUGGGCGAUGAAGGCCUUCGGGUUGUAAAGCCCUUUUGCGGGGGAAGAAGUUCUGGCGGUACCCCGCGAAAAAGCCACGGCUAACUACGUGCCAGCAGCCGCGGUAA
rnacentral:rRNA from 1 species